GCAGAAGACAACAUGAGGAUGCAUUUGAAGCUGACACUGCCUGGACGUUAAGCACCUGCUGAAGACAUAACUGCCACAUACCUCUUUUGCAAAGCAAACAGAAAAAAGUUACUCAACUAGAAACUCUAUGGAAAAAUGCUGAAGACUUUGUGAGUGAAAUAACAGCUCUACAUUUUGCUGGGAAAUGUCAGUCAGUGUGAGUCACUAAUAUCAUGGGCACUGACAACUCUGCCUGUCUUCUUUCCUGGGGCUUCCUCCAC